UCACUGCCAGCCCGGCCGUGGUCCUCUACAACCGAGCGUUAGUCAUAGACUACGCAGACACCUUGAUGGUGAAUUACAUUCGAAUUCUGGGAAGAAGAGGAAGCACCGAAGCCAACCCGUGGAGCUAUGUCAUGCCUCUGGCGCCCUCUGUUUGGGGGGCGACAUUUGCAGCUUUACUCACGAUCUUUGCCAUCUUGGCUGUUCUCUCUAAGAUUAGUUGGGUAAAUGUGCCUCUGUCGCCUCAGAUGACCCCAAGCAUGUAUAUCAGGGCGAUGCUGCAGCAAGACAUUCCCAAGGAUACAAACAUCAGAUGGGAGAGGGUGAUAUACGGCGCAUGGCUACUGACAGUUCUGGUGCUCAUAGAGGCCUACAGCGCCAAUCUAUUUACUCUCCUGGCAUCCCGUCGCGUUCCGGAGCCUUAUCAGUCUUUGAGAGCCGUGCUGGACGACCCUAAAGUCGUCAUGAUUUGGUUUGGCAACACUGCUUACACCCAAUUCCUUGAGGCAGCCGAGUCAGGCAUAUUCAAGGAAGUGUACGACGCCGGUCGGAGGGGACGCAUCACGUACAUAACGCCUCGGGAGUACAUCGAAACCACCAACAGACUGGUGUCGAGGGGCGACCACGUCCUUCUUCAGCCAGGUCUCGAGAUGAAAAUGUUCCUGACGGAGGAUUUCAUGGAUAAAGGCGCGGCUAAAUUCCGUCGUGUUUCAGAAUAUUAUGAAAUGGACAUAUUCUUCUGCUUUGUGACAACCUUUUUUGGUGUCAU